CUACUACUUCCUCCGUCCGGAAAUACUUGUCAAAUGAAUAGAUGUAUCUAGAUGUAUUUUAGUUCUAGAUACAUUCAUUUGUAUUCAUUUCUACGACAAGUAUUUCGGACGGAGGGAGUACAUU
rfam:Triticum aestivum genome assembly, contig: Triticum_aestivum_CS42_TGACv1_scaffold_062225_1DL